rnacentral:rRNA from 1 species
GAGCUUGCUCUAGGGAAUUAGUGGCGAACGGGUGAGUAACACGUGAGUAACCUGCCCUUGACUCUGGGAUAACCUCCGGAAACGGAAGCUAAUACCGGAUACGACGUACGGAGGCAUCUCCUGUACGUGGAAAGAACUUCGGUCAAGGAUGGACUCGCGGCCUAUCAGGUAGUUGGUGAGGUAACGGCUCACCAAGCCUACGACGGGUAGCCGGCCUGAGAGGGUGACCGGCCACACUGGGACUGAGACACGGCCCAGACUCCUACGGGAGGCAGCAGUGGGGAAUAUUGCACAAUGGGCGCAAGCCUGAUGCAGCAACGCCGCGUGAGGGACGACGGCCUUCGGGUUGUAAACCUCUUUUAGUAGGGAAGAAGCGAAAGUGACGGUACCUGCAGAAAAAGCACCGGCUAACUACGUGCCAGCAGCCGCGGUAAUACGUAGGGUGCGAGCGUUGUCCGGAAUUAUUGGGCGUAAAGAGCUCGUAGGCGGUCUGUCGCGUCUGCUGUGAAAACCCGAGGCUCAACCUCGGGCCUGCAGUGGGUACGGGCAGACUAGAGUGCGGUAGGGGAGAAUGGAAUUCCUGGUGUAGCGGUGGAAUGCGCAGAUAUCAGGAGGAACACCGAUGGCGAAGGCAGUUCUCUGGGCCGUAACUGACGCUGAGGAGCGAAAGCGUGGGGAGCGAACAGGAUUAGAUACCCUGGUAGUCCACGCCGUAAACGUUGGGCGCUAGAUGUGGGGACCAUUCCACGGUUUCCGUGUCGCAGCUAACGCAUUAAGCGCCCCGCCUGGGGAGUACGGCGCAAGGCUAAAACUCAAAGGAAUUGACGGGGCCCGCACAAG